CUCUCCCCAGCAUCGCCGCCGCCCGAGCCACCGUCGGCGAAGCCAGGCGGCUGCAAGGACGGCGGCGGCAGGGCUCCCUCUCCCUCGCUCGUGGUCAAACCGUACGGGACGCCGGCAAGAGAGGAGCUCAGGCUUGGUGCCGGCGACGAGGAGAAGCGCCCGGCGGCGGCCAGAUCCGGCGCUGUGGAGGCCGGAUCCGGUCCUCCAUGGCGGGAUCUGCUCGGCGGCGGGGUUGGAAGCCUUUUGGUCACCACUUUCCCCUACCGGCAUGCUCGUGGCACUCUGCCCUUUGGCGCGGCGUUCUGGAUUCCAAGGCCGCUUGAGGAUUUGUUUGUUGUUGAUCUAGGAAGUUAG
rnacentral:lncRNA from 1 species